rnacentral:lncRNA from 1 species
GUUUGCACAACGCCCUACCUGCCCACUCCCCAUUGUGGCACGGAGUUGCACGGCUGCUACAACGUAAACUACCCAGUGUUCUGGCAGUCUGCGCAGGAAGCGGACGCAGCACAGCAGACAAGAAGCGUGGAGCACUAGCGGUCUGUCAGUCCGACUUUCUGCCGAAUAAAAUAGGCUACACAAGAAGCUGAGCAGAUAUCCACUCGGACAGAUCCACGUCCCGUCCCAGUGGUUGAAAGAACAGAAAGAAACGAGAGGACACCUUCACAUGCAUGAAGAGCAACACACAACACAAGGGGACUGUGAGUGCAGGUGAGGUGAGGACAAGGACAAGUCCUUCAUCCGUCCGUCAACGUCCGAGUGUCCCGGUGCCGCCCACUCUCAGGUCACCUCAACCGCGACGGCGGCCGAACAAAUAGGAGUCUCUCGAACCCAGCGUCCCUCAGACUGCCUGCCUUCGCAAAGCAAAUAUUUGAAGCCAUUAUAUCUCAUUUCCCAGGGCUAACCUUCGGUGAAAAGAUCAACGGAAAAGGAGUGAUCGCUCAGAGAGAGACGGACAAAGAGAGAAAGAAAGAAAGAAAGGGGGAGGGUGAAAAAUAGUAACCCUUUCAAAGUGAACUCUGCCUGCUAUUUCUGCUGCGCUGUGGGCAGGAGAACGUCCCAUUUGGGAGUGCUUUUGGCCAGUGGCAACAGGAUUUCCCUGCACCCUGCCCAUUUAUCCAAAUGCCUGUGUAAAUACUAGAUAGAGAUAUCAAUUUGUCUGGGCUCCAACAGUGCCCAAAAAGAGACUAUCUAUAGCUAUAAGCUAUCUAUAGCAAGCUCCACAUCAAACUUGGCCUCUGUGGUCACAGAAUUGCUACCUAUUUAUUUCCUCAGUAGAGAGAUUCAGGAACUGUGAGUGAGAAUGGGAGCUGCUAUGUCUUUAGUUCUGAAGCAGAAAGCUUACUGAAAAAGUUCACACUAGACUAGAACUUGAAAGGCACAACAAUAAAUCCAGGGGGACACCUUUCGCCACUAGCUGCAGGAGAAGGCAGCCAUUUUGGGGCUGCUGUUUUGAUGUCUUU